CCUACGGGCGGCAGCAGUGGGGAAUAUUGGGCAAUGGGCGCAAGCCUGACCCAGCAACGCCGCGUGAAGGAAGAAGGCUUUCGGGUUGUAAACUUCUUUUGUCAGGGACGAAGCAAGUGACGGUACCUGACGAAUAAGCCACGGCUAACUACGUGCCAGCAGCCGCGGUAAUACGUAGGUGGCAAGCGUUAUCCGGAUUUACUGGGGGGAAAGGGCGUGUAGGCGGGACUGCAAGUCAGAUGUGAAAACCACGGGCUCAACCUGUGGCCUGCAUUUGAAACUGUAGGUCUUGAGUACUGGAGAGGCAGACGGAAUUCCUAGUGUAGCGGUGAAAGGCGUAAAUAGUAGGAGGAACACCAGUGGCGAAGGCGGUCUGCUGGACAGCAACUGACGCUGAGGCGCGAAAGCGUGGGGAGCAAACAGGAUUAGAUACCCCAGUAGUC
rnacentral:rRNA from 1 species